AUAAGGAAAUGUUACAUUAAGGUUGGUGGGUUGUUUUUAUGGGAAAAAAUGCUUUAAGAAC
rnacentral:sRNA from 1 species